rnacentral:misc_RNA from 1 species
GAAAUGCGAUAAGUAAUGUGAAUUGCAGAAUUCAGUGAAUCAUCGAAUCUUUGAACGCACCUUGCGCUCCUUGGUAUUCCUUGGAGCAUGCCUGUUUGAGUAUCAUGAAAUCUUCAAAGUAAAUCUUUUGUUAACUCAAUUGGUUUCUACUUUGGUAUUGGAGGUCUUUGCAGCUUCACACUUGCUCCUCUUUGUUCAUUAGCUGGAUCUCAGUGUUAUGCUUGGUUCCACUCGGCGUGAUAAGUUAUCUAUCACUGAGGACACUGUAAAAGGUGGCCAAGGUAAAUGCAGAUGAACCGCUUCUAAUAGUCCAUUGACUUGGACAAUACUUUUAUGAUCUGAUCUCAAAUCAGGUAGGACUACCCGCUGAACUUAAGC